ACUCCUACGGGAGGCAGCAGUGGGGAAUUUUGGACACUGGGCGAAAGCCUGAUCCAGCAAUGCCGCGUGAGUGAAGAAGGCCUUCGGGUUGUAAAGCUCUUUUGUCAGGGAAGAAACGGUGAGAGCUAAUAUCUUUUGCUAAUGACGGUACCUGAAGAAUAAGCACCGGCUAACUACGUGCCAGCAGCCGCGGUAAUACGUAGGGUGCAAGCGUUAAUCGGAAUUACUGGGCGUAAAGCGUGCGCAGGCGGUUUUGUAAGUCUGAUGUGAAAUCCCCGGGCUCAACCUGGGAAUUGCAUUGGAGACUGCAAGGCUAGAAUCUGGCAGAGGGGGGUAGAAUUCCACGUGUAGCAGUGAAAUGCGUAGAUAUGUGGAGGAACACCGAUGGCGAAGGCAGCCCCCUGGGUCAAGAUUGACGCUCAUGCACGAAAGCGUGGGGAGCAAACAGGAUUAGAUACCCCUGUAGUCCCAU
rnacentral:rRNA from 1 species